GUGCCAGCAGCCGCGGUAAUACGUAGGUGGCGAGCGUUACUCGGAAUCACUGGGCAUAAAGGGCGUGUAGGCGGGUGCGUAAGUCCGGUGUGAAAUCCCUCUGCUCAACGGAGGAAGGCCAUUGGAUACUGCGUGUCUUGAGUGCGGGAAGGGAGAGUGGAACUCUUGGUGGAGCGGUGAAAUGCGUAGAUAUCAAGAGGAACGCCGGCGGCGAAAGCGGCUCUCUGGCCCGUUACUGACGCUGAGGCGCGAAAGCUAGGGGAGCAAACGGGAUUAGAAACCCCAGUAGUCC
rnacentral:rRNA from 1 species